UUUUACUCCAUCAAUCUAAAAUGAUGAUAUAUUGAAAAUAUUUCAAGGGUUUUGUCGUACUAAUAAAGUUAAUAUUGACACAAAAAAAAUUAAAGAUCACAAUAUCAGCAGAACGAAAAAAUGCAAUGGUAGUAUAAUGAUCUAAAGAAAAAUAGAAGAUACAUAUUGGAGGUAGAGUAGAGGCGCAGUGAGUCCAUAGCCAACGAACAAUUUGCUGUGUUGGCUGCAAUGAGGGAAUCAGCAUUGACAAAUGCCUUGAUCAUGAAAUCAAAGCUGAAUACUUCAACAUAGAAUACUCACAUAAAUGCAUUGCCAUAUUUUCUAUAGCUGGUCACCUCCUAUUUACAGCAUGUAUCUCUCUGCCAUUUACCUCCAACGUCCAGCAAGAGUAGAUGAAACAGAAAGAAGCCCACCAUGCCAUAAGCAAGAUUUAUGCCAUUUCUCUUGGUCAACGCAAAGAGGUUAAAUAUUUUGUUAGACAAAUGUAUGAUUAAAAUUCAAUCUCCUCUUGUUUCGUUUAUUGGCAUCCCUAAAUUCUACCAAUGAGGGAAGAGGCCGUGGCACAGGCACAUUCAUUGAUCUGUAUAAAUUUUUCAAGGUUUCGCUAAAGUUUCUUGAUGAUCCAAUGGGGGAAUAAGAUGCAGCCUUAUGUUUCUUCACUGAUUCCUGACAUUUUUCUUCAGUAACACAAAUUUCUAGCUUUUUCUCAGAUUUAUUCUCAUGUUUCACUGCAGUAUCCUCUUCGACUGCGAAUUCUUGAGCUGGUUGAUCAUUUAUGAAUGCAAGUUUCUCCUCAGGUGGGAAAUUAGAAUCUUGGAUACCAAGUCUAGCUCUACCAAAUAAAGUCACUGCUGGCCUUUUGCUCGGAGGAGACAAACUCAAGAGUCCGCUAGAAGAUACUUUUAUCGGUUGUGAUUGAGAUUCUGCAGAAAUUUGUUUAGCCCCCUUAACUAUAGGAGAAUAACCAAUGGCUCUGGCCAAGGUAUCGGCUGCAGGAGAAGCUUCCACACUAAUGUCCAAAAGUUUCCAGACAGGAUCAGCCGAAGUUAAUUGCGUGCCAAUGGAGCGCUUCCUUACAUAAUCAAGCUCCAUAGCCCAGCAACUGGGGGUUGUUGAAACAACCCAUUUAGGUGCGAGCAAUUGCAGAGCCCACUCUAGUUCUUCCCUGGAAGAAUGCAUGGAGUAACAGACAUGCCAAACGCCAAAUUGGUCCCUCACUGCUUCCUUAAAUCUUAGUUUUCUUUGACUUUCAACACCUGAAUCAUCUUCCUCACACGCAUACCACUGUGCUGAAGGGCGAAUAAUCAGAGGCUCUGGCUGGGAAUUAGCUUGUGCCUCCACAAGCUUUGCAGCUGCUCGUUCAUACAAUUUAGGAAAUCCAUCAAACACGUGGAAACGUGAAGAUGGAUCUUGAGUGAUGACUUGGGGAACUGUCAGUGUUAGAGCGUGGAAGCAUUCCGGAUUGGCAGCUUUGUCAACAUAUAUUUUGGAACCAAAAGUUUGAGACACUUGAGCCAAUAUAUCCUCUUGACCAAGAAGAUCACAGGUCAGAUACACCAGAGCUGCAGCAGGGUGCUUCCAUAUACAAUUGAUUACCUGUUGGCUUGCUGAAUUCUUGCUAGGAAGUUUCUGAUGGAAUCUUCCAAAUGUACAGUCUAGAAAAACAUAAUCGAGUUGGCACCUAGGCUCUCUUCCUUUCUUGCUGAUAUACUUCUCUGGAAAACACUGUAGACACUCUGGAGUGAGCCUGCAAUCUCCUGUGUGCAGGAUGUUUCCAAAAUUUCCCUCAAACAAGAACAUCACAGCUCCUGAAGUUCAGAAAUCCAUGCCAGACAAGGGAUCAUCUGUGACAGGGCAGUGAUUCGCAUCAAAAGCUGUAACCGAGAAUUGCCCAUCUGGGUCAUCAAUCACCACCGACUGGCCCACCUCAAUAUCCACAAACAAUGAAUCCUCAAGCUGGGGAUAAUAAUGGAGAACAAGGGAUUUCGUGAGAUGGGUAGCGUAAAUUGGAU
rnacentral:misc_RNA from 1 species